rnacentral:rRNA from 1 species
UACAGAGGGGGCUAGCGUUGUUCGGAAUUACUGGGCGUAAAGGGCGCGUAGGCGGCUUGGUAAGUCCGUUGUGAAAUCCCUCGGCUCAACCGAGGAACUGCGACGGAUACUGCUUGGCUUGAGUCCCGGAGAGGGUAGCGGAAUUCCCAGUGUAGCGGUGAAAUGCGUAGAUAUUGGGAGGAACAUCGGUGGCGAAGGCGGCUACCUGGACGGGUACUGACGCUGAUGCGCGAAAGCUAGGGGAGCAAACAGG